rnacentral:rRNA from 1 species
GACGAACGCUGGCGGCGUGCCUAAUACAUGCAAGUAGAACGCACAGUUUAUACCGUAGCUUGCUACACCAUAAACUGUGAGUUGCGAACGGGUGAGUAACGCGUAGGUAACCUGCCUGGUAGCGGGGGAUAACUAUUGGAAACGAUAGCUAAUACCGCAUAAUAUUGAUUAUUGCAUGAUAAUUGAUUGAAAGAUGCUAUUGCAUCACUACCAGAUGGACCUGCGUUGUAUUAGCUAGUAGGUGAGGUAACGGCUCACCUAGGCGACGAUACAUAGCCGACCUGAGAGGGUGAUCGGCCACACUGGGACUGAGACACGGCCCAGACUCCUACGGGAGGCAGCAGUAGGGAAUCUUCGGCAAUGGACGAAAGUCUGACCGAGCAACGCCGCGUGAGUGAAGAAGGUUUUCGGAUCGUAAAGCUCUGUUGUAAGAGAAGAACGGGUGUGAGAGUGGAAAGUUCACACUGUGACGGUAUCUUACCAGAAAUGGACGGCUAACUACGUG